rnacentral:rRNA from 1 species
AGAUUGAACGCUGGCGGCAUGCCUUACACAUGCAAGUCGAACGGCAGCACGGGAGCAAUCCUGGUGGCGAGUGGCGAACGGGUGAGUAAUAUAUCGGAACGUGCCCAGUCGUGGGGGAUAACGCAGUGAAAGCUGUGCUAAUACCGCAUACGAUCUAUGGAUGAAAGCGGGGGACUCGCAAGAGCCUCGCGCGAUUGGAGCGGCCGAUAUCAGAUUAGCUAGUUGGUGGGGUAAAAGCCCACCAAGGCGACGAUCUGUAGCUGGUCUGAGAGGACGACCAGCCACACUGGAACUGAGACACGGUCAGACUCGACGGGAGGCAGCAGGUGGGGAAUUUUGGACAAGUGGGCGCAAGCCUGAUCCAGCAAUGCCGCGUGCAGGAUGAAGGUCC